UACGAAGGGGGCUAGCGUUGCUCGGAAUUACUGGGCGUAAAGGGCGCGUAGGCGGACAGUUUAGUCAGAGGUGAAAGCCCAGGGCUCAACCUUGGAAUUGCCUUUGAUACUGGCUGUCUUGAGUUCGGGAGAGGUGAGUGGAAUGCCGAGUGUAGAGGUGAAAUUCGUAGAUAUUCGGCGGAACACCAGUGGCGAAGGCGACUCACUGGCCCGAUACUGACGCUGAGGCGCGAAAAGCGUGGGGAGCAAACAGGG
rnacentral:rRNA from 1 species